rnacentral:rRNA from 1 species
CCUACGGGAGACUGCAGUGGGGGAUAUUGCACAAUGGGGGAAACCCUGAUGCAGCGACGCCGCGUGUGGGAAGACGGUCCUCUGGAUUGUAAACCACUGUCCCCAGGGACGAAGAUGACGGUACCGGGGGAGGAAGCGCCGGCUAACUACGUGCCAGCAGCCGCGGGAAUACGUAGGGAGCGAGCGUUGUCCGGAAUUACUGGGUGUAAAGGGAGCGGAGGCGGGACUGCAAGUUGGGUGUCAAAUCUACCGGCUCAACCGGUAGCCGCACUCCAAACUGCAGUUCUUGAGUGAAGUAGAGGCAGGCGGAAUUCCUAGUGUAGCGGUGAAAUGCGUAGAUAUUAGGAGGAACACCAGUGGCGAAGGCGGCCUGCUGGGCUUUUACUGACGCUGAGGCUCGAAAGUGUGGGGAGCAUACAGGAUUAGAUACCCGUGUAGUC